UACGUAGGGGGCAAGCGUUGUCCGGAAUCAUUGGGCGUAAAGCGCGUGUAGGCGGCUUGGUAAGUCUGCUCUGAAAGCCCGGGGCUCAACCCCGGGAGGCGGGUGGAUACUGCUGAGCUCGAGUCCGGAAGAGGCGAGUGGAAUUCCUGGUGUAGCGGUGAAAUGCGCAGAUAUCAGGAGGAACACCAAUGGCGAAGGCAGCCCCCUGGG
rnacentral:rRNA from 1 species